ensembl:lncRNA
CAUGAUCAUUGCUUCAGCCACACCAUCUCCCACACAUUCACCUACAUCAUCUUCCUCUUCACCUUCCUCCUCCCCCUAGCUCUCUGGCUGAAACAAGCAUCCUGACUGAAUGUCUCACUUCUGUUCAAAUGUCUAUUUAUCCGUUUAACCCAUAUAAAAAGGAAACUUCUGAAGAAAUUAUAUUUUUUUAAAGAAUCAAAAAUGAAAUCAGGAAUAACUAUUUAAUGAAGAUAUACAGGAUAAACAAUGUUAUUUAUCAUCAUUGUUUUGAUUACAGAGAUAACGAUUGCUAGGUCUCCAUUUUCAUCAUUAGUAGUAUUAAUAUCAAGUUCAUUGUCAGGUUUUGCUUAAAGCAUCACUUGUUUAAUUUUCAUUGCAUCAAGUUGACAUCAUUCAUGUUAAUAUAAGCAUGCACACAUGUUUCUCCAUGUCCAUUCAGAACUGCACUAACACUGAGAGAGACAGAGGAGAGAGGAGUCCUACACACAGAGAGAGCGGACAAGAUGGAGGGAGGCGGAGAGAGGGGGUGAAUGGCUGUGUGGAGAGAGAGGGAAGUGGGGAAAAGGGAGUUUUCAGAAAUAGAGUGGGAGAACAAGCAAUCAAAGAGAGCAAGAGACAGGUAUAGAAAGAGAUAAAGGGAAAAGAUAAAGGUAUAUUGAGAGAGAGAGAGCGAGAGGGAGAGAGAGAGAGCGGCAGGCAUAGAAAGAGAUAAAGGGGAAAGAGAAAGGUAUAUUUAGAGAGCGAGAGAGAGAGAGAUAGAGAGAGGUAUAGAAAGAGAUAAAGGGGCAAGAGAAAGGUAUAUUUAGAGAGAGAGAGAGAGAGAGAGCGAGAGAGAGAGGCAGAGAGAGAGAGAGCGGCAGGCAGGCAUAGAAAGAGAUAUAUAUUUAGAGAGAGAGAGAGAGAGAGAGAGAGAGGUAUAGAAAGAGAUAAAGGGGCAGGAGAAAGGUAUAUUUAGAGAGAGAGAGAGAGAGAGGUAUAGAAAGAGAUAAAGGGGCAAGAGAAAGGUAUAUUUAGAGAGAGAGAGAGAGAGAGUAAAAAGAGAUAAAGGGGCAAGAGGAAGGUAUAUUUAAAGAGAGAGAGAGAGAGAGAGAGAGAGAGAGCGGCAGGCAGGCAUAGAAAGAGAUAAAGGGGCGAGAGGAAGGUAUAUUUAGAGAGAGAGAGAGAGCGAGAGAGAGCGAGGGUAAUACUGAGAGCACACUAGCAACCUCCAGUGCUGAGUGAGUGCUAACACCACAGUGUUAUGGGGCAGAGGAUCAUGUGGACUGUGAGGGAUAGAGACAGAGCCUGGAGAUAGGCCAAUGGAUCAAUACUAUAGUAUCUACUUAUACAGGCAGAUCAAUGACCUCCCAGAACAACCUGAGCAGACAUACAGUUCCAGAUGGAAAACUUCUGGCUAUGAUAUGGGAUAUACAGCUUUAAUCUGUGUACAUACCAAGCAUACCAGAAAGCAUCCCUGCACUUCCUUGGCCUGAAGUUGGAAUAGUAACUGGAUCCCCCUGAAUGCGUUUAAGGGGAAAUGGCAGCCAUAGCAUUAGUAGUGCUAACUGUUAGUUGAGGUUAUAGUAGCAGAAGUGGUGGUAGACAUGGUUCUCCCAUGGCAGUAGCCACAUGGUGCUUAAAGAGGAAGUGCAGAGCGUAAACAGGGGGUCAUUGUAUUUCACAAAGAUAAAGGACAUGGCUACCCCCUCUCUGUCUCCCCGUUUGGAGGGACUGCUAGGGGACAUAAAAGAGUCAUUACUCAGCCCAAAAUUCUACCUCAAGUAAUCAAAACGUAUCUAACAUCACGGUGCCAACUGGUUUCCCCUCAGACACACAGUACACAUUUACUAAAAGUAGUACACAACCAACACAGUUACUUAGAUCAGGCAGGGGGGGCACUUUUGAGUGACUGACAGCUGAUCUGGGAAACAACACACACAAUACACUCUAAUCUCUGUGAGAGACCGACUGUUCAUCAGGGAUCAUAAGUAUCCCACUCCCCACCAAGUGCAAUGGGUCCUACAACAAAUGGUUCCUCUAAGACACACAGGACAGAAGACACAUUUUGUUUAAAGACAGGAGUUUCAGUCUGUGGAUGCUAGGAAUGGUGUGGGGCCGCGAGGACAGGUAGAAGAUAGGGAUCUCAUGAGCACAGAAACAUGUCACACAGAAGGUCACAGUGACACACACAAACACACAGGCAUACACACACAGACGCACACAAAUACAAAACACACACACAAACACAGAAAUACACACAAAUCAAAGCAACACAAAUGUGUGUGUCCUUCUAACGUUGUCGUCCAGUCGGAGACAUGAUGGACUGCAGACAAUUUUAUCUUUUCAAAUUAAAUAAUGUCUUUCCGAAAAACAAAAUCUUGGAAUGAUAGAAAAAUUCAAUAUAAUGGUGAAAUCCUUCCCUGUAGGAUACAUUUCCAGUAAGUGCACUCCAAGCCGAGCAGGUCCGUCCUCAUCACAGUUCCCCUGUAGAGUCCUCUGGGGUAAAGUCUGCCAGUAUGUCCAAACAGGGGAACACUAUUCCUGUAACAUCCCAAGGCGCUCAAAUAGUUCAGGUCUUCAAGUACUCACAGUCACAUCCUUAGUGGAUCGUAAAAAAAUGGUAUGGAUAAAUUCCUUUCUGGAUGAUUAUAUUACACAAACCCCCAAAACCAAACAAAUGGAAAAAUAAAAGCAAAUUCACAUUAAUGAGCACCAUGAAGAAGGUGACAAAAUAAUGAGGCGAAGGGACACAUUUCAAGGUUACGUAACAUGCUUCAGCAGAUGGGUUCAUCCACAUUUCUCCCUCCCCUGACAUCAAUAAUAACGACCGGCAAAGGUUCCUUCCUCCAGCUAAAAGAAGCCAGAAAAGCCCAGAUCCAGAGGGUAGGCCCAAACCACUAGAGUCUCCACAACUGAUGUUUGUCCUGCUGGAAACACGACAUGGAUGUUUCUUAACUACACUUGUAUACGAAUGGCCUAAAGUAAAGCAUUGGCAUGGUUUGUCUUUUGAAGUCCAUACAGAGCAGAAACCUUAGGCCCAGGUUUGAUUGGAGGGAGAAAUGUGCAUCAUCACACUCCUUCUGGAUGAAUUACUGGCACUAACCUGAAGCACUGUGUGUGUGUGUGUGUGUGUGUGUGUGUGUGUGUGUGUGUGUGUGUGUGUGUGUGUGUGUGUGUGUGCGUGUGUGCGUGUGUGUGUGUGUGUGUCAGAGAUCUAAGUGUUGCUUGUAUAGAGUGUAGAUUCUGUAUUCCUGUGCUUCGUUGCGACAGGACAGGAGUUGGAAUAUUCAGCAGUAGCAGUAGAAUAGCAGUCGAUGUGUCUCCUUAUCUCUCUUUGUUUGAUGGAGAGAAUUAUUCACAGAUGAGCAGAAAGAAAGGAAAGUCUGGAACUGGAAAGAUGAUAAUAAC